GUGCCAGCAGCCGCGGUAAUACGUAGGGUGCGAGCGUUGUCCGGAUUUAUUGGGCGUAAAGGGCUCGUAGGUGGUUGAUCGCGUCGGAAGUGUAAUCUUGGGGCUUAACCCUGAGCGUGCUUUCGAUACGGGUUGACUUGAGGAAGGUAGGGGAGAAUGGAAUUCCUGGUGGAGCGGUGGAAUGCGCAGAUAUCAGGAGGAACACCAGUGGCGAAGGCGGUUCUCUGGGCCUUUCCUGACGCCGAGGAGCGAAAGCGUGGGGAGCGAACAGGCUUAGAUACCCUGGUAGUCCACGCUGUAAACGGUGGGUACUAGGUGUGGGGUCCAUUCCACGGGUUCCGUGCCGUAGCUAACGCUUUAAGUACCCCGCCUGGGGAGUACGGCCGCAAGGCUAAAACUCAAAGGAAUUGACGGGGCCCCGCACAAGCGGCGGAGCAUGCGGAUUAAUUCGAUGCAACGCGUAGAACCUUACCUGGGUUUGACAUGGAUCGGGAGUGCUCAGAGAUGGGUGUGCCUCUUUUGGGGUCGGUUCACAGGUGGUGCAUGGCUGUCGUCAGCUCGUGUCGUGAGAUGUUGGGUUAAGUCCCGCAACGAGCGCAACCCUUGUUCACUGUUGCCAGCACGUUAUGGUGGGGACUCAGUGGAGACCGCCGGGGUCAACUCGGAGGAAGGUGGGGAUGACGUCAAGUCAUCAUGCCCCUUAUGUCCAGGGCUUCACGCAUGCUACAAUGGCUGGUACAGAGAGUGGCGAGCCUGUGAGGGUGAGCGAAUCUCGGAAAGCCGGUCUCAGUUCGGAUUGGGGUCUGCAACUCGACCUCAUGAAGUCGGAGUCGCUAGUAAUCGCAGAUCAGCAACGCUGCGGUGAAUACGUUCCCGGGGCUUGUACACACCGCCCGUG
rnacentral:rRNA from 1 species